rnacentral:rRNA from 1 species
GACGAACGCUGGCGGCGUGCCUAAUACAUGCAAGUCGAGCGCAGGAAAUCGACGGCACCCUUCGGGGGGAAGUCGACGGAAUGAGCGGCGGACGGGUGAGUAACACGUAAAGAACCUGCCCUCAGGUCUGGGAUAACCACGAGAAAUCGGGGCUAAUACCGGAGGGGUCAUCGGACCGCAUGGUCCGAGGAUGAAAGGCGCUACGGCGUCGACUGGGGAUGGCUUGCGGUGCAUUAGCUAGUUGGUGGGGUAAUGGACCACCAAGGCGACGAUGCAUAGCCGACCUGAGAGGGUGAUCGGCCACACUGGGACUGGGACACGGCCCAGACUCCUACGGGAGGCAGCAGUAGGGAAUCUUCCACAAUGGACGAAAGUCUGAUGGAGCAACGCCGCGUGAACGAUGAAGGCCUUCGGGUCGUAAAGCUCUGUUGUAAGGGAGGAACAAGUGCCGCAGGCAAUGGCGGCACCUUGACGGUACCUUGCGAGAAAGCCACGGCUAACUACGUGCCAGCCGCCGCGGUAA